UACGUAGGAUGCAAGCGUUGUCCGGAAUUAUUGGGCGUAAAGAGCGCGCAGGCGGUUUUACAAGUCAGAUGUGAAAGAGGCCGGCUUAACCGGCAAGGGUCAUUUGAAACUGUGAGACUAGAGUACAGCAGAGGAUAGCGGAAUUCCCGGUGUAGUGGUGAAAUGCGUAGAUAUCGGGAGGAACACCAGUGGCGAAGGCGGCUAUCUGGGCUGAAACUGACGCUGAGGCGCGAAGGCUAGGGUAGCAAAC
rnacentral:rRNA from 1 species